GCUCCACCCUUCAUGAAGUCAUAACAUGAAAAAGCACAUAAAACAAAAACUUACAAAAACAAAAAAGAUUCCACCUAAAAUAACUCAAAAUUUCCCCAAAAUCAAAAAUCAAAAAUCAAAAUCUCUUCCCUUCACAAGUUAUUCUCCUUCUCCCACCUCACAAAUCUCAAAAUCCAAUCUCCCAUCUCUGGUUUUACAUGACCUCAUCACUCCACUCUCUCUCCUCCAUUUCCCCUCAACCCAAGAACACCACCUUCAUCUUCAACAACAAACCCCACAAAAUUAAGGACACAGCUUUCUCAGGUGCCCCUAAACCCCCUGCAAUGAGGCUAAUUGUCCCCUUACAAGGGGUUGUUCAAGGUAGGGGUGGCCUUAUUCUAGGGUCAAUUAUACCUUGUGCCCUCUUCUACUUCUUCCAGCUUUACCUCAAGAAGAAUCGCAACAACAACAACAACAACAAUCUCCCUCCUCCUUCAUCUCCUCCAAUUCUCUCUCCUACCACCUCCAAUGUCGAGCUUCAUCGGUCUUCUUCUCGACCCAGUUUGUCUUCUUCUCGCUGCUCUCUUGGGCCCGCCCGCAUUUCUUCUCGGGCUUCUGCGCUUGCGAAACCCAAUGAUUCUCCUUACUAUCUGGGCCUUGAUAGGGCUCGGGAAGAUGCUUAUCAUGAAGUUGAUAAUCCCAAUGGAAUUAUUCAGCUUGGUUUGGCUGAGAAUUUGUUGUCAUUGGAUUUGAUCGAGAAAUGGGUAACAGAGAAUUGGGAUGGUUCGAUGAUAAAUGGUGGUGAAUUGGGCAUCAAUGGGAUUGCUACUUACCAGCCAUUUGAUGGGUUGAUGGAAUUGAAAAUGGCAAUGGCCGAUUUCAUGUCUAAGGUAAUGGGGGGUGUCUCCUUUGAUCCGUCACAAUUAGUAUUGACAUCUGGUGCUACUCCUGCAGUGGAAAUGCUAUGCUUCUGCCUGGCAGACCAUGGAAAUGCCUUUCUGAUUCCAGCACCAUAUUAUGCUGGUUUUGACAGGGACUUGGUGCGUACAGGUGUGGAGCUGAUACCCGUACAUUGUCGCAGCUCUGACAACUUCACAUUAAGCAGUACUGCCCUCGAUCAAGCGUAUAAUAAUGCUAGAAAACGGGGUCUAAAAGUUCGUGGGAUACUCUUCUCAAACCCUUCUAACCCUGUAGGCAAUUUACUCUCAAAGGAUACGUUAUACACCCUUUUGGACUUUGCAAGGGAAAAAAAUAUUCACAUAAUUUCUGAUGAAAUAUUUGCGGGGUCAACCUAUGGUGAUAUAGAAUUUGUGAGCAUGGCAGAAAUUGUCGAAUCAGAAGAGCUUGACAAAAAUAGGGUUCAUAUCAUUUAUGGACUAUCCAAAGAUCUUUCACUUCCAGGGUUUAGAGUUGGGGCCAUCUAUACCUCUAAUGAGAAUGUGUUAGCUGCUGCUAAAAAGUUAGCUAGGUUUUCUUCAAUUUCUGCUCCUACGCAGCGUCUGGUAGUGUCAAUGCUGUCAGAUAAAAGGUUCAUUGAAGAAUACAUGGAAACAAACAGAAAGAGGCUAAAAAGGGUGCACGACUCCUUUGUUGCUGGUUUAGAUCAACUUGGAAUACCUUGCGCGAAGAGUGAUGGGGGAUUAUACUGUUGGGCUGACUUUAGUGGAUUGGUUAAGCCUUACAAUGAAAAAGGAGAGCUUGAUUUAUGGGAUAAGUUGCUGACUGUUGGCAAAGUGAAUUUAACCCCUGGUUCAGCCUUUCAUUGCAUUGAACCUGGGUGGUUUAGGUGUUGUUUCACUGCAUUAGCUGAGAAAGACAUUCCUAUGAUUAUGGCACGGAUUGGGAAAAUUUGUGCAAGCUGCAAAUCACCCAGAUAAUGUGCCGUGAGUUUCAGUAGUUUAGACUUCAUAUGAAAUAACCGUCUAGCAGCAAUGUCAAUAAGCAUCACGUAGUGGAAAGCUCGUUGAAGAAAGGAGAUCAAUGGAGAAAAUGUACAGAUUUAUAUUCUUUUGCCAAACAUACAUACACUCAGAAAGAUCUCUGAUAUUUUAUUGGUGAAGAUAUCGAGACAUUGAAUAAUUCACAUAUCAAGACAUUGAAUAAUUCACUCCUACAAAUGAUGAGAAAACGGUAUUCUACACAAAUUGAUACCCAUGAAGUGCUCUUUCUAAGAGAUUUUUAAUGUCAAAAAGUCCUCCCUCAGCAUUUUCACUAGUCCUCCGCCACUGGCUACAAUGUUGAAGCAUCCUUGAGCUCUCCCAGGGUACAUGGCCUUCUGAUCACGCCACUCCGUCUGCCAUCACCCACGAGUUUCUUAUGCUCUUCCAAAAUAGAAGGUUUCUUUUCAGGAAGCCUUGUUUCCUCGGGAUUCUUUCCUAUUUCAAGAAACCGUGACUUGGGUGGAUACAACGGAAACAUGUGUGCCAAGAAAGCCGAACCCCUCAAGCUUGUAUUACUAGUUACAUAACUAUUUGUACCGGUGUUACUUUCUGGUGAAAAUGGAGCCGUCUCCAUACACCCGUUACUCUGAUGUUCUAUAUACGGAUUUCGCAGAGGUGUGAGGCGAUUUGCUAGAAGAGAAGGAGCAGAGCAAAAGGAAUCUUCUGAAUGGACACUCAUUGCCUCAAAAUCCAACUCAGUCAUCCAAUCUUGUUCAUCAUCAUCAUAAUCAUCACCAUACAAGCUAUCUCCUUCAUCAAUCUCACAUUCAUCAUCAUACUUUGUAAAGUAUGCAGGAGGUAAAGGGGAAGCGGAAAAACAAGAAGAUGAAUGGAUGAUGAUGAUUCUUGUGCCUUAUGUUUUGGGAAGUCUUUGACACAUGGAGAAACUCGAAAAGGUUGGUGCACUUCCAGUUUUUCAUCAUGUUGCUGUUAAUAAUCUUUUGACAGCGCAAAGUAUAAGUUACAGAUCAAUACGAAACUCCCUUUGUCAAAGAAAAUUUGGUAUGAAACUCAGCCGUUAUAUUUUCGUAUUAAAGAGUGCAUUACUGCCAAAUGUUGGGUAUCUUUGCUAAUAAUAGGUCAACACAUGUUUUGUUUACACAUAUUAUGAAGGACUCUGUCCGUGUUGCACUAAUAGAUUACGGAGUACGGAGUAUUAGUUAAA